rnacentral:rRNA from 1 species
AGAGUUUGAUCCUGGCUCAGAUUGAACGCUGGCGGUAUGCUUAACACAUGCAAGUCGAACGGUAGCAGGCCUUCGGGCGCUGACGAGUGGCGGACGGGUGAGUAACGCGUAGGAAUCUGCCUGUUAGUGGGGGACAACGUGGGGAAACUCACGCUAAUACCGCAUACGCCCUACGGGGGAAAGCGGGGGACCUUCGGGCCUCGCGCUAACAGAUGAGCCUGCGUUAGAUUAGCUAGUUGGUGGGGUAAAGGCCUACCAAGGCGACGAUCUAUAGCUGGUCUGAGAGGACGAUCAGCCACAUUGGGACUGAGACACGGCCCAAACUCCUACGGGAGGCAGCAGUGGGGAAUAUUGCACAAUGGAGGAAACUCUGAUGCAGCGACGCCGCGUGAAGGAAGAAGGUUUUCGGAUCGUAAACUUCUAUCAGCAGGGACGAUAAUGACGGUACCUGACUAAGAAGCCCCGGCUAACUACGUGCCAGCAGCCGCGGUAAUACGUAGGGGGCAAGCGUUAUCCGGAAUUACUGGGUGUAAAGGGUGCGUAGGCGGUAAUGUAAGUCAGGUGUGAAAGCCCGAAGCUCAACUUCGGGAUUGCACUUGAAACUACAUAACUAGAGUACAGGAGAGGUGAGUGGAAUUCCUAGUGUAGCGGUGAAAUGCGUAGAUAUUAGGAGGAACACCAGUGGCGAAGGCGACUCACUGGACUGUAACUGACGCUGAGGCACGAAAGCGUGGGGAGCGAACAGGAUUAGAUACCCUGGUAGUCCACGCUGUAAACGAUGAAUGCUAGGUGUCGGCUCGU